rnacentral:lncRNA from 1 species
UAGACAUCUUCUCUUGUGUUAAGUGCAUCUUUAAUUGAAAAGCAAAUUGUCAUGUUCCAUAAGGUAACUAAGAUACUUGAUGUUUCCAAAUGUGGUCCACUGAUCUUUCAAACUCUAGGGCUGCUCACUGAAAUCAAAGAACUAAAGGUAGAAUCAUGCAAAAGAUAUCAACCCCAUGCUUAACGUUUUUAAGAUUAUUUACUUUCUUAAAAUGACAAUACAACCAAAAAAACUUCCCAAUUGAUUAUAAUCAAUACCAAUAGGAUUCUGAGAAAAUAAUUUUUUUAAUUGUAGAAAUUAGAGGAAAAAAAUUUAAAGAGCAGAGGGCCACUUUAUGUGAAGUGAUAAGCUUUGAAUACACAACUUGCACAAGUUGAAAAGAAAACACAAAUAGUUGCCUUUGGUAGUCACUCAGCCAAAGUUUCAAUGAAACUGUAAAUGUGAGUUAUUCCACAAUUUCAACACAUCGUGAUAGUUGAUGAUUCAACUAAUAACUGAUCCCAGGGAGAGGCUCUCAAACCACAGGUUUCAUCCCAUUCACUUCAGAGUGUAUAAAAUAGCUGGGAUAUUCCAGAGCCAGUCACCUCCAUUUCUUAUAACACCAUCCCAGAGAAGGAACGGACUGGGAAGUUUGAGAUUACAUCUGAAUAAAAUGAAAGUUCUCCUUCUGCUCACAGCCAUCUUGGCAAUAACCAUUGGUUUCCCGGUCUCUCAAGACACGGAAGAAGAAGCACGAAGUGUCAGUGGGAGUGAUGAACUAUCUUCACAGUUCUUUUUUCCUCCUUACCAAUAUCCACGCAGCCAUUAUUCACGAUUCCUCUGUCCAUGGUGGGCCUAUUUUUAUCCUCCCAUUCCAGUACCUGCAUCUGUCUCUGCAACUACUCCUCUUAAUGAGAAGUAAAUAAGAAAGAGAAGUCC